rnacentral:rRNA from 1 species
UACGUAGGUAGCGAGCGUUAUCCGGAAUUACUGGGUGUAAAGGGAGCGUAGGCGGGAUUGCAAGUUGAAUGUUAAACCUAUGGGCUUAACCCAUAGUUGCGUUCAAAACUGCAGUUCUUGAGUGAAGUAGAGGCAGGCGGUAUUCCUAGUGUAGCGGUGAAAUGCGUAAAUAUUAGGAGGAACACCAGUGGCGAAGGCGGCCUGCUGGGCUUUAACUGACGCUGAGGCUCGAAAGCGUGGGUAGCAAACAGG